GGUAAAAUGGCCGAGUAAUAGGCAUUAGACUGUAAAUCUAAGUACAGAGGUUUGUAUCCUCUUUUUACCA
rnacentral:tRNA from 1 species